UACGAAGGGGGCUAGCGUUGCUCAGAAUUACUGGGCGUAAAGGGAGCGUAGGCGGAUAGUUUAGUCAGAGGUGAAAGCCCAGGGCUCAACCUUGGAAUUGCCUUUGAUACUGGCUAUCUUGAGUACGGAAGAGGUAUGUGGAACUCCGAGUGUAGAGGUGAAAUUCGUAGAUAUUCGGAAGAACACCAGUGGCGAAGGCGACAUACUGGUCCGUUACUGACGCUGAGGCUCGAAAGCGUGGGGAGCAAACAGG
rnacentral:rRNA from 1 species